ACCACACAGUCAAGGCCGUCUGCAAAUACUGUGCAUUCGUCUGUGCACCGACAGAUAGUUACUAGGCAGUCAGCAGGCCCGGACCAGUGGCAGGUGCUGGAGCUGGGGGAGUGGAGGCUGCGCGGAGCUUCUGCACAGCCCAGCCCCCCUUCGCAUGCUGCGUGUUGGCUGCAGAGACGCCCCCCAUCUCGUCGUAAAGGCACAGGUGAGCCAGGAGGAAAGAAACAGCCUCCCUUGAAUCUUCUAGAGUUUGGUCAAAUGACUUUUGCCUCCACCUGUGGCUGCCGCACUGCCCUCUGGGACACCCUGGAGACGGCGUUUUUCACCUGCCUUGUCUCAGCGUCUGCCGUCCCUGCUCUGAGCAAAGCGUUUCUAGCAUUUCCAACAUGUCCGACGGUUGUUAUGUCCACCACGACUGCCCUCUGCCUGCCCAUCUGUCUGGUAAGUUAAAACGUACCUCCACAGAAGGAAAUCGAUUUUUGUUAGUAAUGUGCCAACGAAG
rnacentral:lncRNA from 1 species